UCCUACGGGAGGCAGCAGUAGGGAAUCUUCCGCAAUGGACGAAAGUCUGACGGAGCAACGCCGCGUGAGUGAUGAAGGCUUUCGGGUCGUAAAACUCUGUUGUUAGGGAAGAACAAGUGCUAGUUGAAUAAGCUGGCACCUUGACGGUACCUAACCAGAAAGCCACGGCUAACUACGUGCCAGCAGCCGCGGUAAUACGGAGGGUGCGAGCGUUAAUCGGAAUUACUGGGCGUAAAGCGCAUGCAGGCGGCCUGUUAAGUCAGAUGUGAAAGCCCGGGGCUUAACCUCGGAAUUGCAUUUGAAACUGGCAGGCUAGAGUCUUGUAGAGGGGGGUAGAAUUUCAGGUGUAGCGGUGAAAUGCGUAGAGAUCUGAAGGAAUACCAGUGGCGAAGGCGGCCCCCUGGACAAAGACUGACGCUCAGAUGCGAAAGCGUGGGGAGCAAACAGGAUUAGAUACCCUGGUAGUCCACGCCGUAAACGAUGUCUACUUGGAGGUUGUGGCCUUGAGCCGUGGCUUUCGGAGCUAACGCGUUAAGUAGACCGCCUGGGGAGUACGGUCGCAAGAUUAAAACUCAAAUGAAUUGACGGA
rnacentral:rRNA from 1 species